AUGGGCCUCAGAGUUGCAGGCCGCUGGGCGGUCUAUGGCGGCUGUCUUCUCGCGCUCAUCGAGGGCGACGCCCUCAUGGUAAACCGUCUCUUCGACGCAAAGAAGAACCCUCCGCCGCGGCCGCGCCCUGCCCAUGACCCCAACUUGGCCACCGCGGCGACCCCAGACCUGCCCCAGCCAGCCGUGGCCCCUGCGGAGGUCGCGAGAUCGAGCGGUGGGGGUAGCUGGUUUGGCGGCCUCUUCGUCAAGGAGGAGGAGGAGAAGAAGCCCAGUGGCAGUGAGGGCAAGUCGGAGAUAUUAGAGAGCUUCGAGACGCCCAGCCCUCCGGUGCCAUCAUCGGAGCACAAGUGA
rnacentral:rRNA from 1 species